ACAUUUUUUGAGAAGUCUGAUGGAGGUAUAAUGUCCACGGUCGAUUCUUUGAACAGUGUUUCUGGAGAUCAUGGGGAGUCUGCCAGUCUUGGUAACAUCAACCCUGCCUAUAGUAAUCCCUCUCUUCCACAGUCCCCUGGGGACUCAGAGGAGUACUUCGCCACUUACUUUAAUGAGAAGAUCUCCAUUCCUGAGGAGGAGAAUAAGAGGCUGAUGGAACCUGCAGGUAAGGGAAGAGCUUUGACUUGGACAGAGAAGUGGCCAGCUUCUUAAUAAAAAGUGGGUAAGAUGGAGGUGAAACUUGGACACAUGCAAUAUCUGACAUUGUAAAUCCUUUUUUCUUGUGAGGCUGGAUUUUGUUGCUUCAUAUGUGAUAACAGAUCAAUUAUAUCAGUAGUUCAAUGGUGAUGUUCAGUUUAAUCUCUUUUCCUCUCUUGUACAGUACUCUUGUUUUAGCUUUCGUAAACUCUGGGCUUUCACCGGACCAGGUUUUCUUAUGAGCAUUGCCUACCUGGAUCCAGGAAAUAUUGAAUCCGAUUUGCAGUCUGGAGCAGUGG
rnacentral:sRNA from 1 species